rnacentral:rRNA from 1 species
CACGUAGGGGGCGAGCGUUGUCCGGAUUUAUUGGGCGUAAAGAGCUCGUAGGCGGUUUCGUAAGUCGGAUGUGAAAACUCCAGGCUCAACUUGGAGACGCCAUUCGAUACUGCGAUGACUUGAGUCCGGUAGGGGAGUGUGGAAUUCCUGGUGUAGCGGUGAAAUUCGUAGAUAUCAAGCGGAACACCGGUGGCGAAGGCGGCCUUCUGGACGAGUGACUGACGCUGAGACGCGAAAGCGUGGGGAGCAAACAGG